rnacentral:rRNA from 1 species
AACCCAAACUAAUUAUUUUCGGCGUAAAACGUGCCAACUAUAAAUCUCAUAAUAGAAUUAAAAUCCAACUUAUAUGUGAAAAUUCAUUGUUAGGACCUAAGCCCAAUAACGAAAGUAAUUCUAAUCAUUUAUAUAAUGCACGAUAGCUAAGACCCAAACUGGGAUUAGAUACCCCACUAUGCUUAGCCCUAAACCUUAAUAAUUAAACCUACAAAAUUAUUUGCCAGAGAACUACUAGCUACAGCUUAAAACUCAAAGGACUUGGCGGUACUUUAUAUCCAUCUAGAGGAGCCUGUUCUAUAAUCGAUAAACCCCGUUAUACCUUACCCCUUCUCGCUAAUU